UUCAAACGAGGAAAGG
rnacentral:rRNA from 1 species